rnacentral:rRNA from 1 species
GACGUAGGGCGCGAGCGUUGUCCGGAAUUAUUGGGCGUAAAGGGCUCGUAGGCGGUUUGUCACGUCGGGAGUGAAAACUCGGGGCUUAACCCCGAGCCUGCUUCCGAUACGGGCAGACUAGAGGUAUGCAGGGGAGAACGGAAUUCCUGGUGUAGCGGUGAAAUGCGCAGAUAUCAGGAGGAACACCGGUGGCGAAGGCGGUUCUCUGGGCAUUACCUGACGCUGAGGAGCGAAAGCUAGGGGAGCAAACAGG